AUUAUGCCACAAACAACAAGUGUUUCUGACAUAAUAUACAUUUUUUUUUUUUUUUU
rnacentral:misc_RNA from 1 species